AAAGCUAAUGAUCUUGCCCCAUGUCUCCAACUAACUGGGGACAGGCGUCACCACUUCCUAAGCUGAUUUUAAGACAUUCCCUGGUCCCGAGUGACUGCCAGUGCUCACCCCUGGAAAGCUGUCUCAAAGCAGAGGUCCCCCCCAGCCCCACUUUUCGAUGCUUCUCUGAUGCUAAGUCCACCUCCCCCUCAAAUAUGAACUACCCGGUACCCUGGGAGCUGCGGAAAAGGCAGC